rnacentral:tRNA from 1 species
GCCCGGUUAGCUCAAUCGGUAGAGCGUGAGACUCUUAAUCUCAAGGUUGCGGGUUCUCGACCCCCGCUUCGACCCCCGCAUCGGGCU